rnacentral:rRNA from 1 species
GGGAAAUGUGUGGCGAUGGACGGGGUAAGACAGUGGUGGAGAGCGUUUAUGGGAAUUGCGGGGGGGAAAGGGGGGUGAGGGGGUGGUUUAAGGCUGUGGUGAAAGCCCUGGGCUGAACCUGGGAAUUGCAGUGGAUACUGGAUCACUAGAGUGUGGGAGAGGGAGGCGGAAUUUCUGGUGUAGCAGUGAAAUGCGUAGAGAUCAGAAGGAACAUCCGUGGCGAAGGCGGCAUCCUGGGCCAACACUGACACUGAGGCACGAAAGCGUGGGGAGCAAACAGGAUUAGAUACCCGAGUAGUC